CGGACGGGUGAGUAACGCGUGGGUAACCUGCCUUGUACAGGGGGAUAACAGUCAGAAAUGACUGCUAAUACCGCAUAAGCGCACAGGACCGCAUGGUCCAGUGUGAAAAACUCCGGUGGUAUAAGAUGGACCCGCGUUGGAUUAGCUGGUCGGUGGGGUAACGGCCUACCAAGGCGACGAUCUAUAGCCGGCCUGAGAGGGUGAACGGCCACAUUGGGACUGAGACACGGCCCAG
rnacentral:rRNA from 1 species